UNUGCUGUGAAAGGCCGGGGCUUAACUCCGGUUUUGCAGUGGGUUCGGGCUAACUAGAGUGCAGUAGGGGAGACUGGAAUUCCUGGUGUAGCGGUGGAAUGCACAGAUAUCAGGAGGANCACCGAUGGCGAAGGCAGGUCUCUGGGCUGUAACUGACGCUGAGAAGCGAAAGCAUGGGGAGCGAACAGGAUUAGAUACCCUGGUAGUCCAUGCCGUAAACGUUGGGCACUAGGUGUGGGGGACAUUCCACGUUUUCCGCGCCGUAGCUAACGCAUUAAGUGCCCCGCCUGGGGAGUACGGCCGCAAGGCUAAAACUCAAAGGAAUUGACGGGGGCCCGCACAAGCGGCGGAGCAUGCGGAUUAAUUCGAUGCAACGCGAAGAACCUUACCAAGGCUUGACAUGCAUUAGAUCGCGUCAGAGAUGGCGUUUCCCUUCGGGGCUGGUGUACAGGUGGUGCAUGGUUGUCGUCAGCUCGUGUCGUGAGAUGUUGGGUUAAGUCCCGCAACGAGCGCAACCCUCGUUCUAUGUUGCCAGCGGUUCGGCCGGGGACUCAUAGGAGACUGCCGGGGUCAACUCGGAGGAAGGUGGGGAUGACGUCAAAUCAUCAUGCCCCUUAUGUCUUGGGCUUCACGCAUGCUACAAUGGCCGGUACAGAGGGUUGCGAUACUGUGAGGUGGAGCUAAUCCCUUAAAGCCGGUCUCAGUUCGGAUUGGGGUCUGCAACUCGACCCCAUGAAGUCGGAGUCGCUAGUAAUCGCAGAUCAGCAACGCUGCGGUGAAUACGUUCCCGGGCCUUGUACACACCGCCCGUCAAGUCACGAAAGUUGGUAACACCCGAAGC
rnacentral:rRNA from 1 species